UACGUAGGGUGCGAGCGUUGUCCGGAAUUAUUGGGCGUAAAGGGCUCGUAGGCGGUUUGUCGCGUCGGGAGUGAAAUCCACUGGCUUAACUGGUGGCUUGCUUUCGAUACGGGCAGACUGGAGGUAUGCAGGGGAGAACGGAAUUCCUGGUGUAGCGGUGAAAUGCGUAGAUAUCAGGAGGAACACCGGUGGUGUAAACGGCUUUCUGGACCAUAACUGACGCUGAGGCACGAAAGCGUGGGUAGCAAACAGG
rnacentral:rRNA from 1 species